UUAUAAACAUGUUAGAGACAUACUUGAAGGAACAAGAAAUAGAAUUUCGCUGUGAUUGUGGAGGGACGGCCUCAGAACUGAAGUCGUCUUUUGAUACACUGCCAAGAGUUCUGAUCUUGCAUCUGAAGAGGUUUGGCUUUACACAAACCUACAAGAUUAAGAAGGUGGAUGACCCCGUCAGGCUGCAGAGGGACUUGGUGGUGCCAUCCAAUCAGGGUGGUGGCUGUUAUAGUCUUUGCAGCAUCAUCAGUCAUUAUGGAGGCACAGAGUCAGGACACUACAUCUGUAGUUCUGUCCAUCCUGAGGAGAGUCAGCACUCUACAUCAGAUCGCUGGCUCACCUAUAAUGACGCACAGGUGCUCCACACAACUGGAUCUGCAGUUUGUGAGGAACAGCAGCAGUCGGCCUACAUCCUGUUUUACAAGAGAAACUUCUGAAACAGGAAAUGGAAGGAAGGAAGGAAGUUAAGGUCAUCAUCAUGCUGAGAAGGAAAAGCAGUCGUCCCAGCCCACCAUCGCACACUGGAGGACAAGUAUAGGUAAGUAUUGCCCUCAGGAGGGAGGGUCCUGCCAGAGAGCCUGGUCCUCCCAAGAUUUCUUCCUCCAGGAGGGAGUUUUUUCUUGCCACCGUCGCCCCACAUUCACUGGUCUCAUCAGCAGGGACAUUUUUAACCUCCUAAGACCUGAACUUUCAUGGCAUGCAUUUUUAAUUCCUCUGUGCCAUUUAGGUUGAUUGGGACCCGAUGAAGGUAAAAACCAAGACAUCAGAUUCAGACUAUCUUUUUUUUGUUUCUCAAAAGAAUGAGAUCCACAUAUGAGGACAUUCAUUUUAAAUUUCGAUUGAACAGUGGCAGUGUCAUGUCCUCCCUCAUAAGUGGAUAUCAGGUUUUUGAAGAGCAAAAUUUUGUAUUUUGGUCUAGACAACCCAAAAUGUUAUGUCUACAUAUGUGGACACCAGGUCCUAGGAGGUUAAAACAAAAUCUACUAGAGAUCGUCCUUUUCUGGACCAGUGUUUGGCUUGCUCUCUGGGAACAACAAAUUAGU